rnacentral:rRNA from 1 species
CCUACGGGGGGCAGCAGUGGGGGAUAUUGCACAAUGGGGGGAACCCUGAUGCAGCGACGCCGCGUGGGUGAAGGAGUGCUUCGGCAUGUAAAGCCCUAUCGGCAGGGAAGAAGCAAGACGGUACCUGACUAAGAAGCCCCGGCUAACUACGUGCCAGCAGCCGCGGUAAUCCGUAGGGGGCGAGCGUUAUCCGGUUUCACUGGGUGUAAAGGGAGCGUAGACGGCCAUGCAAGCCAGGGGUGAAAGCCCGGGGCCCAACCCCGGGACUGCACUUGGAACUGGAUGGCUGGAGUGCGGGAGGGGCAGGCGGAAUUCCUGGUGUAGCGGUGAAAUGCGUAGAUAUCACGAAGAACCCCGAUUGCGAAGGCAGCUUACUAAACUGUGACUGACAUUGAUGCUCGAAAGUGUGGGUAGCAAACAGGAUUAGAUACCCUUGUAGUC